rnacentral:rRNA from 1 species
AGCAGCCGCGGUAAAUUCCAGCUCCAAUAGCGUAUAUUAAAGUUGUUGCAGUUAAAAAGCUCGUAGUUGAAUUUCGGGAUCAAUACGUCGGUCGUGCCUUCGGUACGCACUGGCGUCGUUGAUUUCUCCCUUCUGAUGAACCAUGAUGUCAUUAAUUUGGUGUUGUGGGGAGUCAGGACUGUUACUUUGAAAAAAUUAGAGUGUUUAAAGCAGGCAAACGCUUGAAUACAUUAGCAUGGAAUAAUGAAAUAGGACGUUCGAACCUAUUUUGUUGGUUUCUAGGUACAACGUAAUGAUUAAUAGGGAUAGUUGGGGGCAUUAGUAUUCAAUUGUCAGAGGUGAAAUUCUUGGAUUUAUUGAAGACUAACUACUGCGAAAGCAUUUGCCAAGGAUGUUUUCA